GGAAGGAAAACUGAACACUGGAAAAAGAGGAAAAAGACACAGACCAUGACACCAACACUGAUGGGAAUGCUGCGUUAGAGAUUCAGUUUGAUUUAAUGUCAUUUUUACAUAUGAUGUAACAGUUAACGUUUCUUUUAAAUGUAAAAAUUCCCCAGUUAAAACAAAAACAUUGAAGUGUGAGUCACUUUGUUGGCAGAGGAGAAACUUCACAACAACAUCUGCAAACGUUCACGCAGAUUUGAUUUUCCAAUCUAAAAAAAAAACCAACACGCAGCAAGUGUUGUUUUUUUUCUUUCAACACUCUUCAGGAUGUAGGCCAGGCGAGGGCGAAGAGAAAAAAAGAAAACCACUUGUAGCCAGAUGAUGUUUCCCUCCGUCUGGGCCACCUAAUGGAGAAAAAGCCCCUCGGCGUGUGCUUUGCUCUUCACACUUACCAAUUCAUUGGAUUUUGAUUGACAUUUUACACGAAAGGAAGAAAAAUUACUUGCUGUAAAUCAUGAACGUCAGUUAAGUGUUGUGGAUGAUGAGUUGACAGACAGCCCAGCUGAUCAUCAGCAUAAUGAAAUCAAUCGGCAAUUUAUCACUGAAAUACAUUUCAUCACUUCCAUUAUUCAUUCGUGAACAUUUCACUUUCCAAUUUUUUAUUUGACUUGAGGCAACUUUUCCUCAAUAAUGAAUAGCAUGU